UAGUCCACGCCGUAAACGAUGGAUACUAGGUGUUUGGAGUGUUAACCCUCUGGGCGCCAAAGCUAACGCAUUAAGUAUCCCACCUGGGGAGUACGGUCGCAAGGCUAGAACUCAAAGGAAUUGACGGGGGCCCGCACAAGCGGUGGAGUAUGUGGUUUAAUUCGAAGCAACGCGCAGAACCUUACCUGGACUUAACAUCCCAUGACAAUGCCAGAGAUGGUACUUUCUCUUCGGAGACAUGGUGAUAGGUGCUGCAUGGCUGUCGUCAGCUCGUGUCGUAAGAUGUUGGGUUAAGUCCCGCAACGAGCGCAACCCUUAUCCUUAGUUGCCAUUAUUAAGUUAGGAACUCUAAGGAGACUGCCGGUGUUAAACCGGAGGAAGGCGGGGAUGACGUCAAGUCCUCAUGGCCCUUAUGUCCAGGGCUACACACGUACUACAAUGGCACACACCGCCCGU
rnacentral:rRNA from 1 species